GACAGAGGGUGCAAACGUUGUUCGGAAUUACUGGGCGUAAAGCGCGUGUAGGCGGCUAAGUAAGUCGGGCGUGAAAUCCCACGGCUCAACCGUGGAAGUGCACUCGAAACUGCAUAGCUAGAGUCCUGGAGAGGAAGGUGGAAUGCUUGGUGUAGAGGUGAAAUUCGUAGAUAUCAAGCGGAACACCGGUGGCGAAGGCGGCAUCCUGGACCGGCAUUGACGCUAAAGCGCGAAAGCCAGGGGAGCAAACGGG
rnacentral:rRNA from 1 species